rnacentral:tRNA from 1 species
GGAAGCUCUUCGCUGGUCAAGAAGAUCCGUCGCACCUGCUUUGCAAGCAGGAAGUCGUCGGUUCGAGUCCGAUCCGCUCCA